GUGACGUCAUUUAUGGACGGCCCCUAAACACGAGCGAGCCACUUCGCCGUUGGUCGACGAAGUUUUCCACAAUUUUGUUUGGGAGAGGCGAUGGGCCAAUCCCCGUAACGGCCCGACCUCUAUGACCUGGAUUUGAACUCGCUCGGUGUUCACUCUUUAUGUUUCCACGGCAUCGAAGAAGGACGCGCGUGGUACAUUGUAAUCCCGGUCGACGAGUAGGAUACACGUGUGGUUGGAAGGAGGUAUUAAUUUGCAUCUGGCCUUUUUGUUUUACACGUAACUUUUAUUCAUGCUAACGGCCAUUCGUUCAGUUAAAUAAGAGUUAAUUUUGAAGACGGGAACAGUUGACUUGUUGUAGAUGCCUUGGUGGGAUUAUGAACGUAAAUAUUCUGCUUCUGAUACAGUAAUGCGAUGCGGGCACGGGGUGAGUAGAGCGCUUGGUCGUUGAGUUAAGAGGGGCGCUUAGGUCACGUGGUUGGAACCAUCAGGCCUACGAGGUUUGUUACGUCACCGGUGACGCGUGUUUAGAAGCAAGCAUUAAGAAACACGCUUUUUAGAGUAUUUGGCAGCUAUACAUUUACACAUGAUAAGCGACUUCGUGGAGCUAUCCUUUUAGUUUUACAAGUAACUUUUAUUCGUGUUAACACCAAUUACUCCAGUUAAAAAAAUACUUUUGAAGACGGGAACAGAUGCCUUAUUGUUGUAGAUGCUUGUGUUGGCUGCUAUACAUUUCCACAUGAUAAGCAACUUGGUUGAGCUAUCAUUUGUGGCCAGGUCACUUCUGAACAAGAGCUACAUAGCUCAGUGGGCCUUACCUGGUAAAAUAAAAUAAAAAUGUGUUUCGUUUUUGGGUGGUGAAGGGGACGUGUUUCAGCAAUGAACCGUUUCAAUGUAUUAAUGUGAACUAUGUAGCUGUGAAGUUUUAUUUUGCGUGCAUUUGAUUCAUUUACAGUAUUUAUGUUUGUUCAUAGUUUUUUGUGUUAAAUAUGUAUUUGGGGGAGCAGUGACGCAGUGGUUUGCUCACCGUGCUAUCAAUUCGGCGACCCCGAGUUCAAUCCCUUGUCACGGCUAACAUCGGUGUCGAGUGAUGUGUAUGCUGAACUUCUUUUGCACCGUACUUAGCCAACCGUGCUAACCAGUCCUUUCCUCCAUCCUUCAACCCUCACUAAACAGUGUGGUAGUAUUGUAUCGUCAUGCAGUCCCCAUUAUUACUGACAUGGCGUAGAGGAGGCCUUCAUCCAGCAGUGGAUGAGAAGGGGCUGUGCGUAAAAAAAAAUUGUUGACUUUUGUUUACAGGAAAAAGGCGAAAAUGGAGUUAAGGAAGUGGUAACGGAGAUCGCGAAGCCCUGUGGCAACGGGGCCAGCAAGGCAGUGAAACCUCUGAAGCCUUUCAUCACUGAGGAAUAUUUCCUCGGGCUGGGUGACUGAGCUGACUUCCACCAGCACAAUGGAGAUGUUAAAAGGAUCCAGUCACCAAGGAUCAGGGCGAGGUGUUUGGCUGCGACCUGGCUCAGCACCUGGGCAACACGGCACACGACGUCUCACAGGUGGUGAAGCUGUGCGCUGAGCACAUUGAGAGGCACGGCAUCGUCAAUGACAUCUACUGCUGCUCCGGGGUCAUCAGCAAUGUCAACAAGUUGCGAGAGAAGUUCAACGCGGGGACGGGGCCCGACCUGAUGGGGGAGGCGCACGACAUUCACUCCAAGAGCUCCCUCCUCAAGCGAUACUUUCGCGAGCUGCCCGACAAAUUCGCCGUAAGCACGCGACCAUCGGCUGCGCAUUAUGGGCAGCUGCACCAUUUGUUCCACAGCGGCUCUUGCCUUUCCCCGCAAAUUGACAUCACAACCUUGGAGGCCGUUGCGAGUUUUUAAAAAAAAUAAUUUCCAAGUGAGGCAGUCUCCCAAGUGUUUGAGGUUUAACCACAGACUAGCGCGCUGCUGCGUUGCGACGCUGCCGUUCGCGUUUCCCAUGGGUGGCGAGCGUUUCGUGCGUCGGCGCAGGGGGUGAUGACGGCCCUGACGGAGGACAAACUCAUCUUGAUACAGGAGGUCACCGAACUACAGGUACAACAACAACAACAGCAGCCACCAUUGGCCAUUGAAGUGGCGGUGACAUUACCAUGGCACCUGUACAAUGCUAGCCAGGUGCACUUUGAGGCCGUUACAUGAAGUGUCGAAGGCUUGCUGCUGGCAGGAGAUCACGGGAGAGACCCAUGUGCCAUGGGUUGACUGAGAUUGCUGGGCAGAUGCACCAGCUGUGCCCCCUACUGUGCCAAUUUGCUGCAUUCUAGCCGCACGACGCUCCCCUCGUUGUUGUUGGAGGGCAAUUGCCUCCAGCUGCCCAGUUACAUCCUUCAUGCACUAGCACACGUGCACCAUCAAUGACAAAGACAAACAUCCCCCGUAUAGCCUUAACAGACUAUAGGGGCAAGUGCUGUUAGCGAGCAC